rnacentral:rRNA from 1 species
AUUGAACGCUGGCGGCAUGCCUAACACAUGCAAGUCGAGCGGAGCUUCGGACGGGUGAGUAAUGCCUAGGAAUCUGCCUGGUAGUUGGGGAUAACGUCCAGAUACGGGCGCUUAUACAUCAGAAUAUCUGCGUAGCCUAGGUUGGAUUGGCUAGUUGGUGGGGUAAAGGCCUACCAAGGCGACGAUCCGUAACUGGUCUGAGGGGAUGAUCAGUCACACUGGAACUGAGACACGGUCCAGACUCCUACGGGAGGCAGCAGUGGGGAAUAUUGGACAAUGGGCGAAAGCCUGAUCCAGCAAUGCCGCGUGUGUGAAGAAGGUCUUCGGAUUGUAAAGCACUUUUAGUUGGGAAGCGUUACCAACAGAAUAAGCACCGGCUAACUUCGUGCCAGCAGCCGCGGUAAUUC